rnacentral:rRNA from 1 species
ACGACUGCUAAUACCGGAUGAUGACGUAAGUCCAAAGAUUUAUCGCCGAGGGAUGAGCCCGCGUAGGAUUAGGUAGUUGGUGUGGUAAAGGCGCACCAAGCCGACGAUCCUUAGCUGGUCUGAGAGGAUGAUCAGCCACACUGGGACUGAGACACGGCCCAGACUCCUACGGGAGGCAGCAGUGGGGAAUAUUGGACAAUGGGCGAAAGCCUGAUCCAGCAAUGCCGCGUGAGUGAUGAAGGCCUUAGGGUUGUAAAGCUCUUUUACCCGGGAUGAUAAUGACAGUACCGGGAGAAUAAGCUCCGGCUAACUCCGUGCCAGCAGCCGCGGUAAUACGGAGGGAGCUAGCGUUAUUCGGAAUUACUGGGCGUAAAGCGCACGUAGGCGGCUUUGUAAGUAAGAGGUGAAAGCCCAGAGCUCAACUCUGGAAUUGCCUUUUAGACUGCAUCGCUUGAAUCAUGGAGAGGUCAGUGGAAUUCCGAGUGUAGAGGUGAAAUUCG